CGACGUCAAAGGAGUACAGACACACACACACAGGGAGAGGGAGAGGACAGGACGAGCUACCAGACUGCCAAUUCCCUCCGGGUCCACUGAAGGAAAUUCAUCUCUCAGCAGCGCUCCUCGUUCAGCACAGCUAGAGGGACAUUUGUUUAUUUUUAUUUAGACAUAUAUAUUUUUUUUUUAUAUAUACAGCAGGUUUUGAUUUUGAGAUUUACGGAGCAUCUGUCAGGAAAGAAAGAGGGAGAGGAGAAAAAAAAAAAAACCCACAACAACAAGCAGAUCCAGAGGGGGGGAAAAACACGCUCAUGCCGAAUAAAGGACCGUCGCUGGAUGUUACUUGUGUUGUUAUAGGGGGGGUGCAGGCCUAACUUGUUACAGGAUUCAAAGACGCUCCUCCAGACAAAUGAACUGAAUAACUGAGAUCCAAUAACUAAAAUAACAAGCGGAGGGGAAGAGGAAGGAAAAAGGCAGCCCAGCGAAUACGCCGAUUUCUCUGCCCACGGACAGCACCACAGACUUCUCAAUGAAGGAGCCUGACGCAAUCAAGCUCUUCAUCGGGCAGAUACCCCGAAACCUGGAGGAGAAGGACCUGAAGCCCAUCUUCGAGCAGUUCGGCAAGAUCUAUGAGUUGACGGUGAUCAAGGACAAAUACACAGGGAUGCACAAAGGAUGCGCCUUCCUCACAUACUGCGCGCGUGAGUCCGCCCUCAAAGCCCAGAAUGCACUGCACGAGCAGAAGACACUACCGGGGAUGAACCGUCCAAUCCAAGUGAAGCCAGCGGACAGCGAGAGCAGAGGGGAAGACAGGAAGCUGUUUGUGGGCAUGCUAGGAAAGCAGCAGACGGACACCGAUGUGAGAAAGAUGUUCGAGCCGUUCGGCAGCAUAGAGGAGUGCACGGUGCUGCGUGGGCCCGACGGCACCAGCAAAGGGUGUGCAUUUGUAAAGUACCAGAGCAACGCAGAGGCCCAGGCUGCCAUCAAUGCUCUGCAUGGGAGUCGUACUUUACCGGGCGCCUCGUCCAGCCUGGUGGUGAAGUUUGCUGAUUCAGAGAAGGAGCGAGGGCUCCGGCGGAUGCAGCAGGUGGCCUCUCAGCUGGGAGUCAUCAGUCCCAUGACCCUGCACCUUGGGGCUUACAACGCCUACACACAGGCCUUAAUGCAGCAGCAGGCCCUGGUGGCGCAGUCGGCCUACCUAUCUCCUGUUGCCACGGUGGCGGCGGUUCAGAUGCAGCAGCUCGCCGCCCUCAACCCCAGCAGCAUCAUUGCCACGCCGAUCGCAUCCAUCACCCCCUCCUCAGGUACCAGCACUCCACCCUCCAUCACAGCCACACCUGUCCCUGCUCUGCCUCCCCCGCUCACCGUGAACAGCUACGCCUCUGUGCCGGCUCCACCCAACGGCCAGUCGGCGACCGAAGCCCUCUACACCAACGGAGUUCAUGCCUAUCAAGCUCAGAGUCCUGUCCUGGACCCCCUGCAGCAAGCAUAUACAGGCAUGCAGCACUACACAGCUACCUACCCCGCUGCCUACGGCCUGGUGGGACAGCCGUUCCCCCACCAGCCCACACUGGUGGCCCAGCAGCCGCAGCAGCCGCAGCAGCUGCAGCAGCGAGAAGGUCCCGAGGGCUGCAACAUCUUCAUCUACCACCUGCCACAGGAGUUCACCGACUCUGAGAUACUGCAGAUGUUCCUGCCCUUUGGAAACGUCAUCUCUGCAAAGGUCUUUGUGGACCGUGCCACCAACCAGAGUAAAUGCUUUGGUUUCGUGAGCUUUGACAACCCGUCCAGCGCCCAGACUGCCAUCCAAGCCAUGAACGGCUUCCAGAUCGGCAUGAAGAGACUGAAGGUGCAGCUGAAGAGGCCCAAGGAUGCCAACAGGCCUUACUGAAGGAGACUGUCCCGUCCGUACAUAUAUCGUGGAGACCUGCGUCGCUAAAAAACCUCCCCCCCUCUCCUUCUCACUGCGUUGAAAAACCUAAGAGUUCAAUCAAGAAAACCACUUGGGAUGUCCCAGCCUUUUUUGGUUGUUUGACCAACCGUAUAGCACAGGAGCAACACUUCACAAAAAGCAGUAUCACGUGUAUGCGCUUACAAAAUCAACAACAACGACAGCAGCAGCAGCAGCAGUUAUAUCAGCGACAAAUACAUCGACAGAAUCAGCAUCCACAAUAUCAGAAGUGCUCCAUAUUUCCUAUCAUUCCACAGCUGGAUUCAUUUAUGUUAUGUACAUACUCUAUUGUCAGCAACAAGAUCUACAUGUUAAGAAAAAGCAUAUCACUGAUGUUAUUCUACUGAACAGGGUUCUACUGUAUAGUGUGAUUUGUGGUCUAUGGCGUUAACAGAAGGCCAGUCUGCACAGUCGGAGGCAAAAAGAAAAUACUAUUCUGUAUGAUUACCAUUGGUAAUAUUGUUAUGUAGAGUUAGUUUUAUUAUUUAUACGUAAAUUAAAAAAAAAACAUGGGGUAAUUAAGCUGGAAGAGAAAUGGAUUUCCUCUCACUGUACAUACCUUGGUUUUCAAAAAGGGAGUUAAAGGACUUCACGAGUUAAGAUUCUCUGCUGCCACUACUUUUCAAAUUAAACCAAGCGGAAGGAAGGGCUGGGAAUUUUUCUAUCUUGAUUUUUUACGUUUUAAUUUAUUUGGUAAUCAAUUUGAUGACGGGGGAGAUGUGACGAUUUCUUUUUUAAUUUCAGAAGAAGAAAAAAAAAGAGGAUUCUGCUGGUCUUCAAGACAAUGAACACACUUAUUAUAGAGUUUUUAAUUACAUAAAUGUACUAUGGAAGUAAAAAAAAAAAACAUAAUGUUUCUUUAUUUAUUCUCUACAAUCGCUGUUUUAAAACAUAUGUCUUUAAAAGAAAAUAAAGUACAAUUUAGAAAAAAAAAUG